GUUGUUGUGAUGGUUAUCCCGCUCUGUAUGAGAGGGACCGCAGGUUCAGACAUCUGGUUUGUGCACUUGUGUGAGGAGCCAAUGGUGCAAAGCUAAUAUCUGCAAGAUUAUGGCUGAACGCCUAUAAGUCAGAACCCCACCUAGACGCAAUGAU
rfam:Danio rerio chromosome 7, GRCz11 reference primary assembly.